rnacentral:rRNA from 1 species
AUACGAAGGGUGCAAGCGUUACUCGGAAUUACUGGGCGUAAAGCGUGCGUAGGUGGUUGUUUAAGUCUGUUGUGAAAGCCCUGGGCUCAACCUGGGAAUUGCAGUGGAUACUGGGCGACUAGAGUGUGGUAGAGGGUAGUGGAAUUCCCGGUGUAGCAGUGAAAUGCGUAGAGAUCGGGAGGAACAUCCAUGGCGAAGGCAGCUACCUGGACCAACACUGACACUGAGGCACGAAAGCGUGGGGAGC